UAGGGAAUCUUCCGCAAUGGACGCAAGUCUGACGGAGCAACGCCGCGUGAGUGAAGAAGGAUUUCGGUUCGUAAAACUCUGUUGUUAGAGAAGAACAGCGCAUAGAGUAACUGUUAUGCGUGUGACGGUAUCUAACCAGAAAGCCACGGCUAACUACGUGCCAGCAGCCGCGGUAAUACGUAGGUCCCGAGCGUUGUCCGGAUUUAUUGGGCGUAAAGCGAGCGCAGGCGGUUAGAUAAGUCUGAAGUUAAAGGCAGUGGCUCAACCAUUGUAGGCUUUGGAAACUGUUUAACUUGAGUGCAGAAGGGGAGAGUGGAAUUCCAUGUGUAGCGGUGAAAUGCGUAGAUAUAUGGAGGAACACCGGUGGCGAAAGCGGCUCUCUGGUCUGUAACUGACGCGGAGGCUCGAAAGCGUGGGGAGCGAACAGG
rnacentral:rRNA from 1 species